AAACUACCCUUAGCAUUUUGCCCCAAACUUAAUAACCCUAGGCAGUGCUUUCUCUCUGAAUCCAGUGGCGUUUCUCCACCGUUCAUCUGCGUCGUCGUCGUUUUCCUUGGCGGCGUGAGAGUCGGUCGUCAUGUUUGAUAAUGGUGAAGAGAAUGGUGAGGAUUGAAAGCUGUGAUGAAAAGGGUUAUUCAAUUGUGAGCAUAGAUUGUAAGGACCGUCCAAGACUCAUGUUUGAUACCGUUUGCACCUUAACGGAUAUGCAGUACGUCAUUUUCCAUGCUUCCAUUAGCUCCCAUGAAGCCUAUGCAUUUCAGGAGUAUUUCAUCAGGCAUAUAGACGGAUAUGCUUUGAACACAGCAAGCUAGAAAGAAAGAGUAAUUAACUGUUUAGAAGCAGCCAUAGAACGCCGGGUUUGUGAGGGAGUUAGGCUAGAAUUGUGUGCAGACAACAGAAUAGGGUUGUUAUGCUUAUGCAUCAUUGCAUAUUAUAAUAGCUUAGUGCUGAUGUAAGUUCUAGUUUCUAGUUUCAAUUCAGAAACUAUUCCUAAUUUAUAAUAAUCUCCAGAAGUAGUUCUAUUAAUCACAUGGAUGAAAUAAACUUACAGUUGAUGCUACUAACAAUGAGGAAAUAAAAGACUUGGUAAAGACUUAGUAAAGCAAUUGAUCAAGCUCUUGAUAUUUCAGAAUUUCUGUUAAA